rnacentral:hammerhead_ribozyme from 1 species
AUCCAGCUGACGAGCCGAAAUAGGACGAAACGCGCGUCCUGGAU